UACAGAGGGGCGAGCGUUGUUCGGAAUUACUGGGCGUAAAGGGCGCGUAGGCGGCCAACUAAGUCAGACGUGAAAUCCCUCGGCUCAACCGGGGAACUGCGUCUGAUACUGGAUGGCUUGAAUUCGGGAGAGGGAUGUGGAAUUCCUGGUGUAGCGGUGAAAUGCGCAGAUAUCAGGAGGAACACCUAUUGCGAAGGCAGCUCGCUGGGACGUAACUGACGCUGGAGAACGCGAAAGCGUGGGGAGCAAACAGG
rnacentral:rRNA from 1 species